GACGAACGCUGGCGGCGUGCUUAACACAUGCCAGUCGAAGGGAAACGACAUGCAUGCGUGCGGUGCUCGAGUGGGGCCCGCGCACGUAACACGAACGUAUAUUGCCCCUGACUCUGGGAUAACUAUAAGAAACUGGGGCUCAUACCAGUUAGGUACGCCUGCUGCAUGGGGGGGCUUGGGACGACUCGGCGGUUGGGGAUGGACUCGCGGCUAUUCAUCUGGUUGGCGGGGUAGUGGAUUACCAGGGCUUUGACGAGAAGCCCGCCUGAGAGGGUGACCGGGCAAAUGGGGACUGAGAUACGGCCCAGACUACUACGGGAGACAGCAGUGGGGAAUAGUGCACGAUGGGCGGAAGCCGGAUGCAGCAACGCCGCGUGCGGGAUGACGACCUUCGGGUUGUAGACCGCUUUCGCCUGUGACGAAGCGUGAGUGACGGUAAUGGGUAAAGAAGCACCGGCUAACUACGUG
rnacentral:rRNA from 1 species